rnacentral:lncRNA from 1 species
UUUCUCCACGUUCUAAACAAGUCCUAAAUGCACUCAGAUAACUUCUUGCACCCACACUGUUUCUCUCUCCUUCUAUUCCAUACACCACCAUUACCGGAGAGGGUGACUGAUGACGGAUCAACACCAUUCAUGUUCAAUUUGUUCGAGUUUAGCUCGGAUCGGUAACGGAAAAAGGGUUUUUUCUCGCAAAACGCUUCAUGUACGCCACCAGUUUGUAAAAAUGAUUUUCAAAUCAAAACCCAUGGA